GACGAACGCUGGCGGCGUGCUUAACACAUGCAAGUCGAACGGAAAGGCCCUGCUUUUGUGGGGUGCUCGAGUGGCGAACGGGUGAGUAACACGUGAGUAACCUGCCCUUGACUUUGGGAUAACUUCAGGAAACUGGGGCUAAUACCGGAUAGGAGCUCCUGCUGCAUGGUGGGGGUUGGAAAGUUUCGGCGGUUGGGGAUGGACUCGCGGCUUAUCAGCUUGUUGGUGGGGUAGUGGCUUACCAAGGCUUUGACGGGUAGCCGGCCUGAGAGGGUGACCGGCCACAUUGGGGCUGAGAUACGGCCCAGACUCCUACGGGAGGCAGCAGUGGGGAAUAUUGCACAAUGGGCGGAAGCCUGAUGCAGCAACGCCGCGUGCGGGAUGACGGCCUUCGGGUUGUAAACCGCUUUCGCCUGUGACGAAGCGUGAGUGACGGUAAUGAGUAAAGAAGCACCGGCUAACUACGUG
rnacentral:rRNA from 1 species